AGUGAACGCUGGCGGUAGGCCUAACACAUGCAAGUCGAACGGCAGCACAGGAGAGCUUGCUCUCUGGGUGGCGAGUGGCGGACGGGUGAGGAAUACAUCGGAAUCUACUUUUUCGUGGGGGAUAACGUAGGGAAACUUACGCUAAUACCGCAUACGACCUACGGGUGAAAGCAGGGGACCUUCGGGCCUUGCGCGAUUGAAUGAGCCGAUGUCGGAUUAGCUAGUUGGCGGGGUAAAGGCCCACCAAGGCGACGAUCCGUAGCUGGUCUGAGAGGAUGAUCAGCCAUACUGGAACUAGGACACGGUCCAGACUCCUGCGGGAGGCAGCAGUGGGGAAUAUUGGACAAUGGGCGCAAGCCUGAUCCAGCCAUACCGCGUGGGUGAAGAAGGCCUUCGGGUUGUAAAGCCCUUUUGUUGGGAAAGAAAUCCAGCUGGCUAAUACCCGGUUGGGAUGACGGUACCCAAAGAAUAAGCACCGGCUAACUUCGUGCCAGCCGCCGCUGUAA
rnacentral:rRNA from 1 species